CUGUGAUCGACCCUUUUGUUCAGUAUCUUCAUUCAUGAUCUGGAGAAUGAAGUAGAUUGCACCCUUGGCAAGUUUGUAGAGGACACUAAACUGGGAGGAGUGUUAGAUAUGCUGGAGGGUAGGGAUAGGAUACAGAGGGACCUAGACAAAUUAGAGAAUUGGGCAAAAAGAAGUCUGAUGAGGUUCAACAAGGACA